rnacentral:piRNA from 2 species
UGGCAUCUUGGCAUUUAUGACCUUGGUAUGU